rnacentral:lncRNA from 1 species
GUAAUAAAUGUGCAUUCCUUCAGAUUAGCUAAACACUAUGCUCUUGGAGUUUAAAAAAUAAAAUUAAUACAAGUCAUAAACAAAACAAAACAAAAACAAAAACGCCAGCAAAAGGGUGUUAUUCUUCUAUCUCUUAGGACAGUGAAGAUUUGGAUUCCUGCAUGGCCCCUCUGAAGUUCCUCACGGGACAGAAAGAAUAGCAGUCUUUACCCAGGGACCACAGAUCUCCACAGACCAAUUUUUCCCUAGAAGCCUCAGUAUGUCCAUACAUGAGAAAUUUCCUGCUAAAAAGUCAGACAAUAAGGAGUAAUAUGGAGGAAUAAGUGAAAAGGAGGUCAGGUAUGUGAACUGAAUAGUCCUGGCAAUAGUGGAAAUCUUUGUUUUGCUCUUGGUAUUAAUGGAAGUACUUCCAAUGUUUUCACGGUGAGUAUGAUGUUUGUUUUCUGUUUCUAGUGGAUGUCCUUUAUGAAUUAAGAACAUGUCCUACUA